UGACAACCCUGUCCGGGACUUUUUAACAGACGGGAUACUUUUGGAGCAGUCACCGUUUCCGAUUGUCUUCGCUCACUCUCAUCAAACAAUACGGCAGGAGCGAAAGAGUGUUAGAAAUAGCAGCCAAAUCUGCAUCUUUCCAUCUUGAAAAAAUAUUUUAAAUAUUCGAUAAUGUAGUCUUAUACAUAUUACACAACACUAUAUGCAAAAAAAAAAAAGGACAUUAGAAGACGGGAUGGUCACGGCUGGGACGCCUUUGAUCGUGGUUCAGCUCGGUCGGAGAAGACCCGACGUUCAACAACACAAGAACUCUUGACUUGUUUUUCUGUUUUUUUUUUUUAAUUUAUCAAAUAUUUCCAGUGACCCACCAUCAAUUUCGUGGUCAUCACACCUUCACCACCACCACCACCACCACCAUCAUCAUCAUCACCUUCAUCACAAUCAUCAGCAUCAACCAUCGUCUUCUCUUCACUUCGACUGUCAAUUAAUAACGCACUUUCGCUUUACUGCUCUUCCUAAGACGCAUGUGUCAAUACAUCCGACAGGUCAUUGCCGUCUUCAUCUAUUGAUGGAUGCUUCUGAACAUCUGAUUCCUGAUUCCCUCGUCUGAUCAAAAAAAAAAAUUGAUCAAGCAAGUGUAAUCAAUACACACCACACAUUGAUCUGUUCCCAAUAAUAACAGG